rnacentral:rRNA from 1 species
AGGAAUGCUGCUGCUACCAUGCAGUCGAACGAUGAAGCCCAGCUGCUCCGGUGGAUUAAUGGCGAAGGGUGAGUAACACGUGAGUAACCUGCCCUUGACUCUAGGAUAAGCCUGGGAAACUGGGUCUAAUACCGGAAAGGACCAUCCACCGCAAGGUGGGUGUUGGAAAGAUUUAUCCCUUUUGGAUGGACUCGCGGCCAAUCACCUUGUUGGUGAGGUAAUGGCUCACCAGUGCGGCCACAGGUAGCCAGCCUGACAGGGUGACCGGCCACACAGGGACUGACACACGGCCCUGACUCCUACUCCAGGCUCCUAUGGGGAAUAUUGCACAAUGAGCGAAAGCCUGAUGCAGCGACGCCGCGCGAGGGAUGACGGCCUUCGGGUUGUAAACCUCUCUCAGUAAAGGAAGAAUCGUCGUGACGAAACCUUACGAAUAAAUACCGGCUAACUACGUGCCAGCAGCCGCGGUAAUACGUAGGGUGCGAGCGUUAUCCGGAAUUAUUGGGCGUAAAGAGCUCAUAGGCAGUUUGUCUUGUCGGUCGUGAAAGUCCGGGGCGUAACUUCUGAUCUGCGGUGGGUACGGGCAGACCACAGUGCAGUAAGGGAGACUGGAAUUCCUGGUGUAGCGUACUGAAUGCGCAGGAUAUCAAGAGGAACACCGAUGGCGAAAUGCAGGUCUCUGGGCUGUAACUGACGCUGACGAGCGCAGCGCAUGUGGGAGCGAACAGGAUUAGAUACCCUGGUAGUCCAUGCCGUAAACAUUAGGCACUACGCUGUGGGGGACCAUUCCACGGUCUCCGCUCCGCAGCUGACGCAGUACGUGCCCCGCGCGGUGGAGUACAGCACGCAAUGCUAUAACUCACAGGAAGUAGACUGGCGCGCGGCACAAGCACGUCAGAUCGAUGCGGAUGAGUUCGAUGCAACGCGCAGAACAUACCUAAGCAUUGACAUGUACUGCGAUAGCCCUAUACAUACUGUUCCCUUCUGAGGACGUGUUCAC